rnacentral:rRNA from 1 species
UACGGAGGGAGCUAGCGUUGUUCGGAAUUACUGGGCGUAAAGCGCACGUAGGCGGCCAUUCAAGUCAGAGGUGAAAGCCCGGGGCUCAACCCCGGAACUGCCUUUGAAACUAGAUGGCUUGAAUCUUGGAGAGGCGAGUGGAAUUCCGAGUGUAGAGGUGAAAUUCGUAGAUAUUCGGAAGAACACCAGUGGCGAAGGCGACUCGCUGGACAAGUAUUGACGCUCAUGCACGAAAGCGUGGGGAGCAAACAGG